AUUGAACGCUGGCGGCAUGCUUUACACAUGCAAGUCGAACGGUAACAGGCCUUCGGGUGCUGACGAGUGGCGAACGGGUGAGUAAUGCAUCGGAACAUACCUAGUCGUGGGGGAUAACGUAGCGAAAGUUACGCUAAUACCGCAUACGUCCUGAGGGAGAAAGCGGGGGAUCUUCGGACCUCGCGCGAUUAGAGUGGCCGAUGUCUGAUUGGCUAGUUGGUGGGUAAAGGCCCACCAAGGCGACGCUCAGUAGCGGGUCUGAGAGGAUGAUCCGCCACACUGGGACUGAGACACGGCCCAGACUCCUAAGGGAGGCAGCAGUGGGGAAUUGCGGACAAUGGGGGCAACCCUGAUCCAGCCAUGCCGCGUGCGGGAAGAAGGCCUUCGGGUUGUAAACCGCUUUCGGACAGAAAGAAAUCGCCAUUCCUAAUACGAGUGGUGGAUGACGGUACUGUAAGAAGAAGCACCGGCUAACUACGUGCCAGCAGCCGCCGUAAAAC
rnacentral:rRNA from 1 species